UGGGGAAUAUUGCACAAUGGGGGAAACCCUGAUGCAGCGACGCCGCGUGAGCGAAGAAGGUUUUCGAAUCGUAAAGCUCUGUCCUAUGAGAAGAUAAUGACGGUAUCAUAGGAGGAAGCCCCGGCUAACUACGUGCCAGCAGCCGCGGUAAUACGUAGGGGGCUAGCGUUAUCCGGAUUUACUGGGCGUAAAGGGUGCGUAGGUGGACUUUCAAGUCGGUGGUUAAAGGCUACGGCUCAACCGUAGUUAGCCUCCGAAACUGGAAGACUUGAGUGCAGGAGAGGAAAGUGGAAUUCCCAGUGUAGCGGUGAAAUGCGUAGAUAUUGGGAGGAACACCAGUAGCGAAGGCGGCUUUCUGGACUGCAACUGACACUGAGGCACGAAAGCGUGGGUAGCAAACAGG
rnacentral:rRNA from 1 species